AACGAACGCUGGCGGCGUGCUUAAUACAUGCAAGUCGAACGUGAAAGAAGGGGUAACUCUUCUGGAAAGUGGCGAACGGGUGAGUAAUACGUAAGCAACCUACCCCUAUGUUUGGGAUAACCCUGCCAACGCGGGGCUAAUACCGGAUGUGGUCAUGGAAACGCAUGUUUUUAUGACUAAAGGUGUAAAUCGCAUGGGGAUGGGCUUACGGCCCAUUAGCUUGUUGGUGAGGUAACGGCUCACCAAGGCUACGAUGGGUAGCCGGCCUGAGAGGGUGGACGGCCACAUUGGGACUGAGAUACGGCCCAGACUCCUACGGGAGGCUG
rnacentral:rRNA from 1 species